rnacentral:tRNA from 1 species
CGGAAUAUAGCUCAGCCUGGUAGAGCGUCUGGUUCGGGACCAGAAGGCUGUGAGUUCGAAUCUCGCUAUUCCGA